GACGAACGCUGGCGGCGUGCCUAAUACAUGCAAGUCGAACGAGAGCGCCCGGUGCUUGCCCUGGUCAAUCUAGUGGCGAACGGGUGAGUAACACGUGGGUAACCUGCCCAUCAGAGGGGGAUAACAUCCGGAAACGGAUGCUAAAACCGCAUAGGUCUUCGAGCCGCAUGGCUUGAAGAGGAAAAGAGGCGCAAGCUUCUGCUGAUGGAUGGACCCGCGGUGCAUUAGCUAGUUGGUGAGGUAACGGCUCACCAAGGCCGUGAUGCAUAGCCGACCUGAGGGGGUGAGCCGCCACAUUGGGGCUGAGACCCGGCCCAACCCCCUACGGGGGGCCGCAGGAGGGAAUUUCCCGAAAGGGGGGAAAGCUUGCCGGGGCAACGCCCGGGGGGUGAAGAAGGUUUUCGGCCCUUAAAACUUUGUUUUUAGAGAAGAACAAGUGCUAGAGUAACUGUUAGCGCCUUGGCGGUUUCUAACCAAAAAGCCCCGGCUACCUCCGU
rnacentral:rRNA from 1 species